GUGUCAGCAGCCGCGGUAAUACGAGAGGCCCAAACGUUAUUCGGAUUUACUGGGCUUAAAGAGUUCGUAGGCGGUUCGGUAAGUGAGGUGUGAAAGCCCUCGGCUCAACCGAGGAAUUGCGCUUCAAACUGCCGGGCUCGAGGGAGAUAGAGGUGAGCGGAACUGAUGGUGGAGCGGUGAAAUGCGUUGAUAUCAUCAGGAACACCAGAGGCGAAGGCGGCUCACUGGGUCUCUUCUGACGCUGAGGAACGAAAGCUAGGGGAGCAAACGGGAUUAGAUACCCCCGUAGUCC
rnacentral:rRNA from 1 species